AAGAGAGUAGGAGAGACAACUCUAUGUCUCUUGCGUUGAAAAGAAUAUUGAGGUAUAGAAAAAAAAAAAAAAAUUGUCGAGAGAUCAUUUCGGUCGUCGUCUUUUUGUAUUGGUGAUUUGAUUGUUGCUUGUCCAUAU